GAGAAGCAGAUGCAUAGAUAGGGAAAAAAGCUGCAAUGGCUUUUGGUGAAGAUUUUGGCUCCGUGAGAGGCCCAUGAACCGCAAAAAGUUUCCUAUCGACCAUGAAGGGAAUCAACAUCUGGCGUUGUCGGUUCUUCACCACAGAUUUAUCAGAAGAAGUAGGUUGAGGAAUGCAGUUCAUACUUUCUUUGGCAAUAAGUUUAAAGGAAAUGGGGUUAUUUCUAAUAGCGUAGGAAGUAAUUUC
rnacentral:lncRNA from 1 species